UACGAAGGGGACUAGCGUUGUUCGGAUUUACUGGGCGUAAAGCGCGCGUAGGCGGAUCGCUAAGUCAGGGGUGAAAUCCCAGGGCUCAACCCUGGAACUGCCUUUGAUACUGACGAUCUGGAGAUCGGGAGAGGUUGGUGGAAUUCCGAGUGUAGAGGUGAAAUUCGUAGAUAUUCGGAAGAACACCAGUGGCGAAGGCGGCUCACUGGUCCGGUACUGACGCUGAGGUGCGAAAGCGUGGGGAGCAAACAGG
rnacentral:rRNA from 1 species